UACGAAGGUGGCAAGCGUUGUUCGGAUUUACUGGGCGUAAAGGGAGCGUAGGUGGUGGGGUAAGCCCCGCGGGAAAGCUCCAGGCUUAACCUGGAAAGGUCGCGGGGGACUGCUCCGCUCGAGGACGGGAGAGGAGCGCGGAAUUCCCGGUGUAGCGGUGAAAUGCGUAGAUAUCGUAAGGAAGACCAGUGGCGAAGGCGGGUCUCUGGACAGUUCCUGACGCUGAGGCACGAAGGCCAGGGGAGCAAACGGG
rnacentral:rRNA from 1 species